UACGAAGGGGGCUAGCGUUGCUCGGAAUUACUGGGCGUAAAGCGCACGUAGGCGGCUUCUUAAGUCGGAAGGUGAAAUCCUGGAGCUCAACUCCAGAACUGCCUUCGAUACUGGGGAGCUCGAGUCCGGGAGAGGUGAGUGGAACUGCGAGUGUAGAGGUGAAAUUCGUAGAUAUUCGCAAGAACACCAGUGGCGAAGGCGGCUCACUGGCCCGGUAC
rnacentral:rRNA from 1 species